rnacentral:rRNA from 1 species
AUUGAACGCUGGCGGCGUGCUUAACACAUGCAAGUCGAUCGGUAACGCGGGGGCAACCCUGGCGACGAGAGGCGGACGGGUGAGGAACGCUUGGGAAUCUGCCCUUCGGCGGGGGACAACACGGGGAAACUCGUGCUAAUACCGCAUACGCUCCACGGAGGAAAGCCGGGGACCGCAAGGCCUGGAACAGAAGGAUGAGACCAAGUCCGCUUAGCUAGUUGGCGGGGUAACGGCCCACCAAGGCGACGAUCCGUAGCUGGUCUGAGAGGACGAUCAGCCACACUGGGACUGAGACACGGCCCAGACUCCUACGGGAGGCAGCAGUGGGGAAUAUUGGACAAUGGGGGAAACCCUGAUCCAGCGACGCCGCGUGGUUGAAGAAGGCCUGCGGGUUGUAAAGCCCUUUCGGUAGGGACGAAAGCUCUCGACCUAACACGUCGGGAGGUUGACUUAACCUACAAAAGAAGCACCGGCUAACUCUGUGCCAGCCGCCGCAGUAACAC